AGUCAAGUAAUUAAGUGCAUGUGGUGGAUGCCUUGGCAGUCAGAGGCGAUGAAAGACGUGAUAGCCUGCGAAAAGCUCCGGGGAGGCGGCAAAUAUCCUUUGAUCCGGAGAUGUCUGAAUGGGGGAACCCACCUACUUUAAGGUAGGUAUUGCAACAUGAAUACAUAGUGUUGCAAGGCGAACGAGGGGAAGUGAAACAUCUCAGUACCCUUAGGAAAAGAAAUCAAUUGAGAUUCCCUCAGUAGCGGCGAGCGAACGGGGAUCAGCCCAUUAAGUUAUGUGUGUUUUAGUGGAACGCUCUGGGAAGUGCGAACGUAGAGGGUGAUAUUCCCGUACACGAAAGGGCACACAUAAUGAUGACGAGUAGGGCGAGGCACGUGAAACCUUGUCUGAAUAUGGGGGGACCAUCCUCCAAGGCUAAAUACUCCUGACUGACCGAUAGUGAACCAGUACCGUGAGGGAAAGGCGAAAAGAACCCCUGUGAGGGGAGUGAAAUAGAUCCUGAAACCGCA
rnacentral:rRNA from 1 species